AGUAAAGUCCAUCACCGGUCCCUAAACUUGUUUGGGUGUGUCAUCCCGGUCCUUAAACUCACAAAACGAUUGUUUAGGUACCUAAACUUGUUCGGCUGUGUCAACCUAGUCCCUAAACUUAGAAAUCUCCCAUAUAGGUCAUCAAACUUGUUCAGUUGUGUCAUCCCAGUCCCUAAACUUGUUUUUAAGUCUCAUCCAGAUCAAAGCAGGGUGAAUCUAAAAACUCUAUAUAGGAAAAUAAUUAAUAACUUUUUCAUAUGAACUCAAAUGAAGAUAAACUUUAUAUCAAAUUUGUAGUAAGCAAUGCGAUCUACAACUUUGUAGUUGAAAAGUUUUUAAAUUGAAAUCUUUUGGGGUCCCAAAAUAUUUUUUGAAAGUUUUUAGAUCUAGAAAUUUAAAAUGACUUUAAAUAUUAAACGACUUUAAAUAAAAAACAUUUCAACUAUAAAGUUGUAGAACGCAUUAAGGGCUACAACUUUGAUAUAAAGUUUGUCUUCAUUCGAGUACAUAUGAAAAAGUUAUGAAUUAUUUUUAAUAUAGAGUUUUUAGAUCACUUUGUUUUGAUCCAGAUGAGACUUAAAAUCAAGUUUAGGGACCCGGAUGACACAACUGAACAAAUUUGAGGACUUAAACGGGUGAUUUUUAAGUUUAGGGACCUAAAUGACACAACUAAACAAGUUUAGGGACUGAGAUGAUACAGACGAACAAGUUCGAGGACCUAAAUGGUCGAUUUGCAAGUUUAGGGACCGGGAUGACACAUUAAUAUAAGUUUAGGGACCGGUGGUG
rnacentral:lncRNA from 1 species